GGACCCGCACAAGCGGUGGAGCAUGUGGUUUAAUUCGAAGCAACGCGAAGAACCUUACCAAAUCUUGACAUCCUUUGACCACUCUAGAGAUAGAGUCUUCCCUUCGGGGGACAAAGUGACAGGUGGUGCAUGGUUGUCGUCAGCUCGUGUCGUGAGAUGUUGGUUAAGUCCCGCAACGAGCGCAACCCUUAAGCUUAGUUGCCAUCAUUAAGUUGGGCACUCUAAGUUGACUGCCGGUGACAAACCGGAGGAAGGUGGGGAUGACGUCAAAUCAUCAUGCCCCUUAUGAUUUGGGCUACACACGUGCUACAAUGGACAAUACAAAGGGCAGCUAAACCGCGAGGUCAAGCA
rnacentral:rRNA from 1 species